GACGAACGCUGGCGGCGUGCCUAAUACAUGCAAGUCGAACGCAGUGGGGACGGGGGAGUAACACGUGGGUAACCUCCCAUCAGAGGGGAUAACACUUGGAAACAGGUGCUAAACCGAUACUGAUGGAUGGACUCGCGGUGCAUUAGCUAGUUGGGGGGGUAACGGCUCACCAAGGCCACGAGGCCUAGCCGACGUGAGAGGGUGAUCAGCCACACUGGGACUGAGACACGGCCCAGACUCCUACGUGAGGCAGCAGUAGGGAAUAUUCGGCAAUGGGCGAAAGUCUGACCGAGCAAGGCCGCGUGAGUGAAGAAGGUUUUCGGAUCGUAAAACGCUGUUGUUAGAUAAGCGGUAUCUAACCAGGAAGCCACGGCUAACUACGUGCCAGCAGCCGCGGUAAUAC
rnacentral:rRNA from 1 species